rnacentral:lncRNA from 1 species
UCAUUUAAACAAUGAUGUGCAACACAAACAGAAAAGAUUCUUCAUUAUGUGACUUAGGAUUUUUAAAUAUAAGGUAUCUGCAUGUAAAAUCUUUCCAAGAUUGGAGAUGCCAUUCCACCAACUCUAAGCAUAUUGGAGAAACACUAAACUCUUAGCCCAAAAACCAAACCAAUCUUUGCUCCAAGCAAUCCAAUCAAGAAACUUAAUAUCUUUGUUUUUGUUUAGAUUGACUGACUGACUGAUAUGUUCGUCAUAUAUAUUCAAAAGAGGAUAUUAAGUAAAUCUAUGGACUUGUUGGGAUGAUCUGCCCUGCAAUUAGAGAAAGGAAAUGCUGGGACAAUGUUGUGUGGCUCAGGAUAUUUUCAGGUGCCUCUCUUAGUUUUGGAUAAGAAUUAGGCUCUAAGAAUUAAGCCUUCCCAAAACACCCCACAAGAAGGAGAGUACAGUAUUUAGGAGACCACUAAUGUAAGGACUUAGGGAUAUGAUUUCAGCAUAAAUUUUAAAAUUUGACACAUAAACAUUACAAAUUAAUUCACACUAUAAAUGACUUGCAAUGGUUUUGUAACACACAUAUGCCCGAGCGCUACCUCGCAUAUUGCUCUGCACUGACCAGAAUUGCUGAAAUGUUUCAUAAAGUGAUAAAUAUUGCAAUCAGUUUAUGAUCUAUGAUUCUGAGUGGUCUUGAUCAUAUAUUUUUUUAUACAAUGUUAUGUAUGAAUUCAUUAUGUACCAGUGUUGGUAUUUUGUUAUGAAUAAAG